rnacentral:rRNA from 1 species
GCAAGGUUGAAACUCAAAGGAAUUGACGGGGGCCCGCACAAGCGGUGGUGCAUGUGGUUUAAUUCGACGCAACGCGAGGAACCUUACCUAGGCUUGACAUGUGGUGAGUAGCGAACCGAAAGGGGAGCGACCCGUCAAAUCGGGCCAUCAUACAGGUGCUGCAUGGCUGUCGUCAGCUCGUGCCGUGAGGUGUUGGGUUCAGUCCCGCAACGAGCGCAACCCUCGCCCUUUGUUGCCAUCGGGUAAAGCCGGGCACUCUAAGGGGACUGCCAGCGACAAGUUGGAGGAAGGAGAGGAUGACGUCAAGUCAUCAUGGCCUUUAU